rnacentral:rRNA from 1 species
AUCCUGGUCGGACAUCAGGAGGUUAGUGCAAUGGCAUAAGCCAGCUUGACUGCGAGCGUGACGGCGCGAGCAGGUGCGAAAGCAGGUCAUAGUGAUCCGGUGGUUCUGAAUGGAAGGGCCAUCGCUCAACGGAUAAAAGGUACUCCGGGGAUAACAGGCUGAUACCGCCCAAGAGUUCAUAUCGACGGCGGUGUUUGGCACCUCGAUGUCGGCUCAUCACAUCCUGGGGCUGAAGUAGGUCCCAAGGGUAUGGCUGUUCGCCAUUUAAAGUGGUACGCGAGCUGGGUUUAGAACGUCGUGAGACAGUUCGGUCCCUAUCUGCCGUGGGCGCUGGAGAACUGAGGGGGGCUGCUCCUAGUACGAGAGGACCGGAGUGGACGCAUCACUGGUGUUCGGGUUGUCAUGCCAAUGGCACUGCCCGGUAGCUAAAUGCGGAAGAGAUAAGUGCUGAAAGCAUCUAAGCACGAAACUUGCCCCGAGAUGAGUUCUCCCUGACUCCUUGAGAGUCCUGAAGGAACGUUGAAGACGACGACGUUGAUAGGCCGGGUGUGUAAGCGCAGCGAUGCGUUGAGCUAACCGGUACUAAUGAACCGUGAGGCUUAACCUU